rnacentral:rRNA from 1 species
CAGUCGCCGCGGUAAUACGGAGGGUGCAAGCGUUAAUCGGAAUUACUGGGCGUAAAGCGCACGCAGGCGGUCUGACAAGUCAGAUGUGAAAUCCCCGGGCUUAACCUGGGAACUGCAUUUGAAACUGUCAGGCUGGAGUCUUGUAGAGGGGGGUAGAAUUCCAGGUGUAGCGGUGAAAUGCGUAGAGAUCUGGAGGAAUACCGGUGGCGAAGGCGGCCCCCUGGACAAAGACUGACGCUCAGGUGCGAAAGCGUGGGGAGCAAACAGGAUUAGAUACCCCGGUAGUCCCUGUCUCUUAUCA